rnacentral:rRNA from 1 species
GCCCAGUGACACACGUUUAACGGCCGCGGUACCCUGACCGUGCAAAGGUAGCAUAAUCACUUGUUCUUUAAAUAGGGACUCGUAUGAAUGGCACCACGAGGGUUUAACUGUCUCUUACUUUCAACCAGUGAAAUUGACCUGUCCGUGAAGAGACGGACAUGAAGCAAUAAGACGAGAAGACCCUGUGGAGCUUNAAUUUAUUAGUACAACUAAAAACCGCAUAAACCAACAGGYCCUAAACCCCUACACCUGUACUAAAAAUUUUGGUUGGGGCGACCUCGGAGCACAACCAAACCUCCGAAUAAUCCACGCUAAGACUAUACAAGUCAAAGCAAACUGACACCUACAAUUGACCCAAUAACUUGAUCAACGGAACAAGUUACCCCAGGGAUAACAGCGCAAUUCUAUUCUAGAGUCCAUAUCAACAAUAGAGUUUACGACCUCGAUGUUGGAUCAGGACAUCCUAAUGGUGCAGCAGCUAUCAAGGGUUCGUUUGUUCAACG